ACGGUGCAUUGAGAGAAUUCUGCCAACUAAAGGCCGCUUUAUUGGAAAGUUUUGUUCAUCUUGAUAAUACAGUUCAAAACAAUUCGGGAACUCAAGAAUCAUCAACCGAGGAGAGCAAUGUUCACUCCAACCACAUGCAGAACAAAGACGUUCUUUUACAACAACCUGGCUUAGGAUGGCUCCAGCACGUCUGGGUUUAAAUGACCAUCUGCCGAACAUGAGGGAUGCUAUUGGUCAUCGGAAUGCAGGAACACCCCAAUCAAAGGGUAUAAAUUACCCCUCACUGGAGCUGAACUCGAGUUGACCAACACUUAAAGGGGCCUUUUGUUUGGAUUACGUGUCUGGCUGAGCUUCUCCCAAACCACACCACGCUACAUCCUGCUGAGUUUGGAAUGACCUUUGUUCUCAAUUGAGUCAGCAAAAAGAACUCCAUACCCAGUGCUCCUCAACUUUAAAGAGCACGUGUUGAUGGCGGUUCGUGACAGUCUACCCCUCCACCCUCUAAAGCGAUGAUAUGAGGCGUCAGGUGUAUAUGGUUGCUCGAGAACUUGUGGCAGGUGUAUCGGUGGGAAAAGAACUUUAGGGUAUAUAAGAAACGAGACAGUCUAACAUUUUCCGUGAAGAAAUUCGGGAAUCAACAUGAUGGUUCAUGCUUUAAAAGUUCAAGCUGAAAUUCACCAGGUGCCUGAGUAUCAGGUUACAGCGGAAGAACUAGAGGGUAUUAGCCUCACUAAGACGGACCCAGGUACCGUAUCUCUCCGUUUUUGUUUUUGGCCUCUGUUAU